rnacentral:antisense_RNA from 1 species
ACCACAAGGCGCACUCGUUAUUAGAGGCCAGAGAGGGAGAGAUGCUUGGUGGGAAUUGUAGUGCGAAGCCAAGAGGCUCCCUCCCUCCCCGGCCCAAAGUCCUUAGACCGAAGGCGGCGUUGCGCCACCGGGGGACGCCCUGGGCUCAUUUCUCUGACAGUCCUGCUACUAGCUUCAGUUUCCUUGUCAACAAAAUGGGGAUAAUCACAUCUACCUUGGAAUUGUUAUGAGGAUCACAUGAAGAAACACAAGUGAAAUGCUCUGUAGAUAUAAAGCAUGUAUCAACGAUG